ensembl:snRNA U1 U1 spliceosomal RNA
CAAUAAAAGUGGCAGGGGAGAUACCAUGAUCAGGAAGGUAGUUUUCCCAGGGUGAGGCUCAUCCAUUGCACUGUGGGUGUGCUGACCCCUGCGAUUUCCCCAAAUGCAGGAAACUCGACUGCAUAAUUUGUGGUAGUGGGGGACUGCGUUCA